rnacentral:misc_RNA from 1 species
AGGUCACUGAAGAGGAGGCAGCUGCUGCUCAGACGGA